rnacentral:rRNA from 1 species
GACGAACGCUGGCGGCGUGCCUAAUACAUGCAAGUCGAGCGAAGUUUUUCUGGUGCUUGCACCGGAAAAACUUAGCGGCGAACGGGUGAGUAACACGUAAAGAACCUGCCUCAUAGACUGGGACAACUAUUGGAAACGAUAGCUAAUACCGGAUAAUAGCAUUAACUGCAUGGUUGAUGUUUAAAAGUUGGUUUUGCUAACACUAUGAGAUGGCUUUGCGGUGCAUUAGCUAGUUGGUGGGGUAAAGGCCUACCAAGGCGCCGAUGCAUAGCCGACCUAAGAGGCUGAUCGCCAACACUGGGACUGAGACACGGCCCAGAGUCCACGGGGCGGCAGCGGAAGGGACUCAUCAGCAACGGGCGAAAGCCAGACGGAGCAACACCGCGUGAGUGAAGCAGAAUCUCGGUUCGUAAAGCUCUGUUGUUAGGGAAGAAUGAUUGAGUAGUAACUCUCCCCAGUAGAGACGGUACCUAACCAGAAAGACACGGCUAGCCACGUG